UAUAGCACUUAAAGAUGGUGAAGCCGACUGUUUCGAAGGCUAUCGUGAAGAAGCGCACGAAGCGCUUCACCCGACAUCGCUAUGAGCUCUUUCCGCAGCUGAGCUCUAGCUGGCGGAAGCCGCGUGGUGAGGACUCCCCGGUCCGCCGCCGCUACAAAGGCCAAAAGGCGAUGCCGAACAAGGGCUACGGUAGCGACCGUGCCACCAAGUAUAUCACUCCGUCCGGCUUUCGCAGCUUCCCCAUCAAUAACGUGGAGGACCUGUACAUGCUCGUGAUGCAGAACCGCAAGUACGCUGGCGUCAUCUCUCACACUGUCGGUGCACGAAAGCGCAAAGCUAUUGCUCGCAAGGCUAUGGAGCUUGAUGUGCGCCUGGCCAACGGGAACGCGAAGCUGCGCAAGAUCGCUAAUCAGUAGGUGACUAUAAAGUGCUAUUGAAUUUUUUUUUGUUUUCCUUUCACGAAACAAAAAUCUGUGUGUGCGCAUUUUCUUACUCUCCAUUUGGUGCGCACCCUUCUGGGGGUAUGACCUUCAGCACACACAAAGAACGUGUGCUGCGCAUAUGUGUUCAAUGCAUGUGCUUUUCCUCUCUUUGUUUCUAUCAAGGAGGUUCAUAUGAGAGGGCAUGCUCACAGCAGCUUCCCUUAUGUAUAUGUAGCCUUCUGAGUUCAGAUGUGAUACUGCUCCCUUGAUCUCCCUUUUGUGUCUUUGUUCGAAACAACAAUGACGCUCUUACAUUCUCUCUACCUAUUAUCGUUUCUUUCGCAUCUGAAAG
rnacentral:misc_RNA from 1 species